GGCAGCAUGGUCUUAGCUUGCUAAGGCUGAUGGCGACCGGCGCACGGGUGAGUAACACGUAUCCAACCUGCCGUCUACUCUUGGCCAGCCUUCUGAAAGGAAGAUUAAUCCAGGAUGGGAUCAUGAGUUCACAUGUCCGCAUGAUUAAAGGUAUUUUCCGGUAGACGAUGGGGAUGCGUUCCAUUAGAUAGUAGGCGGGGUAACGGCCCACCUAGUCAACGAUGGAUAGGGGUUCUGAGAGGAAGGUCCCCCACAUUGGAACUGAGACACGGUCCAAACUCCUACGGGAGGCAGCAGUGAGGAAUAUUGGUCAAUGGGCGAUGGCCUGAACCAGCCAAGUAGCGUGAAGGAUGACUGCCCUAUGGGUUGUAAACUUCUUUUAUAAAGGAAUAAAGUCGGGUAUGCAUACCCGUUUGCAUGUACUUUAUGAAUAAGGAUCGGCUAACUCCGUGCCAGCAGCCGCGGUAAUACGGAGGAUCCGAGCGUUAUCCGGAUUUAUUGGGUUUAAAGGGAGCGUAGAUGGAUGUUUAAGUCAGUUGUGAAAGUUUGCGGCUCAACCGUAAAAUUGCAGUUGAUACUGGAUGUCUUGAGUGCAGUUGAGGCAGGCGGAAUUCGUGGUGUAGCGGUGAAAUGCUUAGAUAUCACGAAGAACUCCGAUUGCGAAGGCAGCCUGCUAAGCUG
rnacentral:rRNA from 1 species